rnacentral:rRNA from 1 species
AUUGAACGCUGGCGGCAGGCCUAACACAUGCAAGUCGAGCGGAUGAAGGGAGCUUGCUCCUGGAUUCAGCGGCGGACGGGUGAGUAAUGCCUAGGAAUCUGCCUGGUAGUGGGGGAUAACGUCCGGAAACGGGCGCUAAUACCGCAUACGUCCUGCGGGAGAAAGUGGGGGAUCUUCGGACCUCACGCUCUCAGAUGAGCCUAGGUCGGAUUAGCUAGUUGGUGGGGUAAAGGCCUACCAAGGCGACGAUCCGUAACUGGUCUGAGAGGAUGAUCAGUCACAUUGGAAGUGAGACACGGUCCAGACGCCUACGGGAGGCAGCAGUGGGGAACAUGGGACAAUGGGCGAAAGCCUGAUCCAGCCAGGCCGCGUGUGUGGAGAAGGUCUUGGGAGUGGAAAGCACUUUUAGUGGGGAUGAAGGGCAGUAAGUUAAUACCUUGCGGUUUUGACGGUACCAACAGAAGAAGCACCGGCUAACUUCGUG